UGCCAGCCGCCGCGGUAAUACGGAGGGAGCGAGCGUUAAUCGGAAUUACUGGGCGUAAAGCGCGCGUAGGCGGCUUUGUAAGUCGGAUGUGAAAGCCCUGGGCUCAACCUGGGAAUGGCAUUCGAAACUGCAGAACUAGAGUAUGGUAGAGGGAAGUGGAAUUUCCGGUGUAGCGGUGAAAUGCGUAGAUAUCUGGAAGAACAUCAGAGGCGAAGGCGGUCUCCUGGGCAAAUACUGACGCUGAGGCACGAAAGUGUGGGGAGCAAACAGGAUUAGAUA
rnacentral:rRNA from 1 species